rnacentral:rRNA from 1 species
GAUGAACGCUGGCGGCGUGCCUAAUACAUGCAAGUCGAGCGAACAGAUGAUUAGCUGGCUCCUCUGACGUUACCGGCGGACGAGUGAUUAACACGUGGAUAACCUACCUAUGAUACUGCGAUAACUUCGGGAAACCUGAGCUAAUACCGAAUAAUAUAUUGAACCGCAUGGUGCAAUAGUGAAAGGCGGGUGUGCGGUCACUUAUAUAUCGAUCCGCUCCGCAUGAGCUAGUUGGUAAGGUAACCGGUUACCAAGGCAACGAAGGGGAGCCGACGUGAGAGACUGGUAGCCCACACUGGAACUGAGCCGCGGUCCCGACUACUACGGGAGGGAGCAGUAGGGAAUGUUACGCAGAGGGCGAGAGCCUGACGGAGCAACGCCGAGUGAGUGAUGACGGUGUUCGGAUAGUGAAAAUCUGUUAUUAGGGAAGAACAAAUGUGUACGUAACUAUGCACGUAUUGACGGUACCUAAACAGAAAGCGACGGCUAACUACGUG